UAGGGAAUCUUCGGCAAUGGGGGGAACCCUGACCGAGCAACGCCGCGUGAGUGAAGAAGGUUUUCGGAUCGUAAAGCUCUGUUGUUAAGGAAGAACGAGUGUGAGAAUGGAAAGUUCAUGCUGUGACGGUACUUAACCAGACAGGGACGGCUAACUACGUGCCAGCAGCCGCGGUAAUACGUAGGGCCCGAGCGUUGUCCGUAUUUAUUGGGCGUAAAGCGAGCGCAGGCGGUUAGAAAAGUCUGAAGUGAAAGGCAGUGGCUCAACCAUUGUAGGCUUUGGAAACUGUUUAAAAUGAGGGCAGAAGGGGAGGGUGGAAUUCCAUGUGUAGGGGUGAAAUGCGUAGAUAUAUGGAGGAACACCGGUGGCGAAAGCGGCUCUCUGGUCUGUAGCUGACGCUGAGGCUCGAAAGCGUGGGGAGCGAACAGG
rnacentral:rRNA from 1 species